rnacentral:rRNA from 1 species
GGUCAAGUUAUUAAGGGUGCAGGGCGGAUGCCUUGGCACUAGGAGCCGAUGAAGGACGUGAUAAGCUGCGAUAAGCUUCGGGGAGUUGCACGUAAACUUUGAUCCGAAGAUUUCCGAAUGAGGAAACUCACUUAGAGUAAUGUCUAAGUAUCAUUAAGUGAAUACAUAGCUUAAUGAGGGGAACUCAGGGAACUGAAACAUCUAAGUACCUGAAGGAAGAGAAAGAAAUUCGAUUCCGUAAGUAGCGGCGAGCGAACGCGGAUUAGCCCAAACCAAUAAAGUUUUCUUUAUUGGGGUUGCGGACAUAUCAUAACGAAGAGGUAUCGUAAUUGAAGAGGUUUGGAAAGACCCACCACAGAAGGUAAUAGUCCUGUAUGUUAAACGAGAAGACUUUAGAUAUGAUCCAGAGUACCACGGGACACGUGAAACCCUGUGGGAAGCAGGAGGGACCACCCUCCAAGGCUAAAUACUACCUAGUGACCGAUAGCGUAUAGUACCGUGAGGGAAAGGUGAAAAGAACCCCGGGAGGGGAGUGAAAUAGAACCUGAAACCCUGCACUUACAAGCUGUGGAAGCACAUUUCUUGUGUGACCGCGUACUUUUUGUAGAACGGGCCAACGAGUUACGUUAAGUAGCAAGGUUAAGCACUUAAGGUGCGGAGCCGUAGCGAAAGCGAGUUUUAACUGAGCGUUCAGUUACUUGACGUAGACCCGAAACCGGGCGACCUACCCAUGAGCAGGAUGAAGCGAAAGUAAAAUUUCGUGGAGGUCCGAACCCACGAGCGUUGAAAAGCUCGGGGAUGACUUGUGGGUAGCGGUGAAAUUCCAAUCGAGCCCGGAGAUAGCUGGUUCUCCCCGAAAUAGCUUUAGGGCUAGCCUCAAGGUGAGAGAUACGGAGGUAGAGCACUGAAUGUCCUAGGGGGUAUUGCACCUACCGAAGACUAUCAAACUCCGAAUGCCGUCAUCUUAUACUUGGGAGUCAGACUGUGGGUGAUAAGAUUCAUAGUCGAAAGGGCAACAGCCCAGAUCGUCAGCUAAGGUCCCUAAAUGUAAGUUAAGUGGUAAAGGAUGUGGGAUUGCACAGACAACCAGGAUGUUGGCUUAGAAGCAGCCACUCAUUCAAAGAGUGCGUAAUAGCUCACUGGUCGAGUGAUCCUGCGCCGAAGAUUUCCGGGGCUAAAACUUACUACCGAAGCUACGGCAUCAGUAAUGAUGGGUAGGGGAGCUUCCCAUACGGGUUGAAGCAUGACCGUAAGGACAUGUGGACAGUAUGGGAGUGAGAAUGUUGGCAUGAGUAGCGAGAUGUGGGUGAGAAUCCCACAGGCCGUAAACCCAAGGUUUCCAGGGGAAGGUUCGUCCGCCCUGGGUUAGUCGGGACCUAAGCUGAGGCCGAAAGGCGUAGGUGAUGGACAACAGGUUGAUAUUCCUGUACUACCGAUAACCGUUUGAGAGAAGGGAUGACACAGUAGGAUAAGCUAAGCACACUGUUGGUUAUGUGUGCCCAAGCAUUGAGGCAGUCAAAGUAGGCAAAUCCGCUUUGAUAAUGCUGGGAUGUGAUGGGGAGCGAAAUUUAGUAGCGAAGUAGCUGAUUUCACACUGUCAAGAAAAGUCUCUAUCGAGGUUAAAGGUACCCGUACCGCAAACCGACACAGGUGGGUGAGGAGAGUAUCCUAAGGCCAGCGAGAGAACUGUUGUUAAGGAACUCGGCAAAAUGACCCCGUAACUUAGGGAUAAGGGGUGCCACCAUCAGGUGGCCGCAGAGAAUAGGCCCAAGCGACUGUUUACCAAAAACAUAGGUUUCUGCUAAGUCGCAAGACGAUGUAUAGGAGCUGACGCCUGCCCGGUGCUGGAAGGUUAAGGGGAUCUGUUAGAGCAAUCGAAGCAGUGAACUUAAGCCCCAGUAAACGGCGGCCGUAACUAUAACGGUCCUAAGGUAGCGAAAUUCCUUGUCGGGUAAGUUCCGACCCGCACGAAAGGCGUAACGAUUUGGGCACUGUCUCAACAACAGACUCGGUGAAAUUGUAAUUCCGGUGAAGAUGCCGGAUACCUGCGACAGGACGGAAAGACCCCAUGGAGCUUUACUGUAGCUUGACAUUGGGUCUUGGUACUACAUGUACAGGAUAGGUGGGAGGCUUUGAAACCAGGACGCCAGUUUUGGCGGAGCCAUCCUUGGGAUACCACCCUUGUAGUACUGGGACUCUAACCAUAGGCCAUGAAUCUGGUCUUGGGACACUGUCAGGUGGGCAGUUUGACUGGGGCGGUCGCCUCCCAAAA